UUCCCCCCCAACCCCAAAAUCCCACCCUUAUUUUUUUCCCCAUUUUAUUUUUUCCCAAACCAAGGAUACAGCUUGAAGACGGAUGGUCUUGAUGAGAUUCUCUCCUUCGUCAAUCGCUUCCAAGAUGCUGAAGAUGAGGCUAUCGAUCUCCUCCUCGACCAGCUUGAUCACCAAUCCUGUAAUUUUCUUUAUUUAUGCUUUUUUAGGGUUUUCCUUAUUUUUUUAAUAUUCUACUAGUAUUUUUUUUUAAAAUUGUAAGCAGUGAAAUCUUUCAUAAUCGACAAGGAGGCGGUGCACCAAGUAUUUAUGGUUGGACAGCUAUCAAUAAUACAGUCUCUGGUUGGGGAAAGAGGGAGGAGAUGGGUGUCAUCUCCCAGUUGGAGGAAAUUUGAAAUUUUGGUUCAAAUUUUAGGGCUUUGUAACUGUUUACGGUUCUCUCGCCCCUCCAUUUGUUAUUAUCGAUAUUGAUUUUAACGGCCAAUACUUAUGGGACAGCAAUGCCACUCAAAAUGGAUCUCGAUAGGCAAAUUCUCUCGCGAUAUUCACUGUGACUUAACAAGGGCACACAAGAAAAGAAAAGAAAAGACUAGCGAUGGAGAACUCAAGUUCCAGCAGUGAGUUGCAGAAGCUCAUAGAAGCCAUAAAAAUUUCAGAGGUGAUAAACAGGACUGAUCAUGCACCCUGCAAUUGGAGGGACUUAGGGUGGGAAUGGAACUUCAGAAAGAAAAGAAUCCAAGAUAGUGGGACUCGCGAGAAGUUGGUUAAUCUACGUGCAAUUCACGUGUCGGUGUGUUCUCCUAUAAUUAUGAACCACCAGACCUGGAAACUUUUAUUGGGUGGACAAUUCGAGAUCUUUAGGAGGAGAGGAGACAACAUCUGCAGCAGAACAUAUUGUUGCUUUCAAAUAAUUUGGAAAGAAAGAUGUAGUGGGUAUCUGAAUUGUAUAGAAGUUGAAUAAGAUGGCGGAGGAAGAAAUAAAGAAGAGGGUGGUGGUUGAAUCCCUAGGAUGGCUAACGGAAUCUUCCAUCAUGCCCAAGUUCGUAGGGCCUGGAAGAACUGCUGGAAUCCUUGACAAUGAUGAGCUUAAGCAUUUCGUAAGGUUGAUUUUUGGUCGGGUUUCUUGAAGCUUUAAGGUUGUAUGGUCGUGGCUGGCGCCAAAUAGAAGCAUGUAGGCACCAAAUCUACAGUUCAAAUUCGAAGCCAUGCUCAAAGUUUUUCUCUAAGGCUCAUUGCUUUGAGUUCAUCACAAGAUUUCCUUGAUUAAGUACAUGUAUUAUAUCUUUUAUUACCAAGAUUUACUUAAUAAAGAAAAUGCAUUGUAUGUUUUAUUACCUUGCAUAUGUAUUAGUUAUUUUAGUUUUGAUUCUAAAUUUUUAUUUUUACUUAAGAGUUCUAACUUUUGGAUUUUAA